CUGGAACGGUAGCUAAUACCGCAUAACGUCUUCGGACCAAAGUGGGGGACCUUCGGGCCUCAUGCCAUCAGAUGUGCCCAGAUGGGAUUAGCUAGUAGGUGGGGUAAAGGCUCACCUAGGCGACGAUCCCUAGCUGGUCUGAGAGGAUGACCAGCCACACUGGAACUGAGACACGGUCCAGACUCCUACGGGAGGCAGCAGUGGGGAAUAUUGCACAAUGGGCGCAAGCCUGAUGCAGCCAUGCCGCGUGUAUGAAGAAGGCCUUCGGGUUGUAAAGUACUUUCAGCGAGGAGGAAGGUGUUGUGGUUAAUAACCACGGCCAUUGACGUUACUCGCAGAAGAAGCACCGGCUAACUCCGUGCCAGCAGCCGCGGUAAUACGGAGGGUGCAAGCGUUAAUCGGAAUUACUGGGCGUAAAGCGCACGCAGGCGGUUUGUUAAGUCAGAUGUGAAAUCCCCGGGCUCAACCUGGGAACUGCAUUUGAAACUGGCAAGCUUGAGUCUCGUAGAGGGGGGUAGAAUUCCAGGUGUAGCGGUGAAAUGCGUAGAGAUCUGGAGGAAUACCGGUGGCGAAGGCGGCCCCCUGGACGAAGACUGACGCUCAGGUGCGAAAGCGUGGGGAGCAAACAGGAUUAGAUACCCUGGUAGUCCACGCCGUAAACGAUGUCGACUUGGAGGUUGUGCCCUUGAGGCGUGGCUUCCGGAGCUAACGCGUUAAGUCGACCGCCUGGGGAGUACGGCCGCAAGGUUAAAACUCAAAUGAAUUGACGGGGGCCCGCACAAGCGGUGGAGCAUGUGGUUUAAUUCGAUGCAACGCGAAGAACCUUACCUGGUCUUGACAUCCAGAGAAUCCUGCAGAGAUGCGGGAGUGCCUUCGGGAACUCUGAGACAGGUGCUGCAUGGCUGUCGUCAGCUCGUGUUGUGAAAUGUUGGGUUAAGUCCCGCAACGAGCGCAACCCUUAUCCUUUGUUGCCAGCACGUGAUGGUGGGAACUCAAAGGAGACUGCCGGUGAUAAACCGGAGGAAGGUGGGGAUGACGUCAAGUCAUC
rnacentral:rRNA from 1 species